GACCUUAAAUCCUACUGAAUAGCUCUUAACCUUCUUCCCUUUAAGCGAUUUCAAAUUAGCCUCCUCCAUUUUGAAAAUGGUGACAGGGGAAGUGUCACUCGUGAUGUCACGAGUUUGACCCGGCGGUAAUACUAAGCAUUCGUUAGUUAUUUUGCGAAGCGAGUUUGACGAGUAACUCAAGGCAAGUGCAUACUAUAUGCCCGGCAGCAAUUCAAGGAAAUACGGUGCAGGAGGAACGACGCAAGCUCUCCGCUCAUGUCUACGGGGGCGCGCGUGUGCUCUUCCAAUGGAUCCUUCUUUUUUUUUUUUGCCCCAAGAAGAAGCCAAACCGAAAGCGAGCCAUCAGGAUGGACGUUCAUUCAUUCAUUCAAACGUCAAAAUAAGUCGAGGGUGAAUAUUUACUGUUUCAUCUGUGUUUAUUUCCCCUGGCUCGACGGCGUGUUGCGUUCAACGUGCCGUUGACGUCAGCGACGGAUCGAUUUUAUUUUCAAAGAAAGCAAGGGCGGAAGCGCGCGUAAUGAUGGUGCGUUCAAGUACAGUAGGAAUUAUGCUUUGCACUUUGUUUAUUUUAUAUAUAUAUAUAUAUUCUAUUUUGUACUCAUUUUAAUUGUUGUUUGAUUGAUUGAUAUUGUUUGAUUGAUGUAUUUUUAUUUAAAAUAUGCAAAAAAAAAACUAGAGCAGGCAUGAUCCAAUACAGUGCUAUAGCGUUAACAGCCAUUAUAACAAAAUAAAAACAAUGGAGAAUUUAAAAAAAAACAUAAGCAAAUGAGCAUUGGACUUUCUCUUCUUUUUUUUUUUCUUACAUAUUUGAAAAGGAGUGAGAAGAAGUAUACACUUAUUCAAUCCCACCCCUUUUCUUUUAAUCAGAAAUUACUCUAAUCUAGAAAUACCUGUUGUUUCUCGUCGGUUUGUUUGUAAAUGUUAGAAUUUAUAAAUAAAAGUAAAAAAACAAACAUGUAGUUACAAUCAUCCAUCAUAUCUUGGAGAAUGCUUAAGAGUACAAAAGCCCUUAAAUUAGGGGUGUCCAAACUUUUUCCACAGAGGGAAAAUGUAAACAUGCGGGGGCCAUUUGGAUAUUUUUCAUUUUCAAACCAUAACAAAAUAUAUGGAUUUUUUUUUUUGAAUCCUAAGGGCUCCUGGGGAGCAUAG